GGGAGUCCUUGAUCUUGAAUCAAGACUGUUAGGGUCUGUGGGUGGCCCAGCUUCAAAGUGAGGAGUCCCUAAGAUUUGCAAGUGUGCCAGCCCGGGAGGCUUCCCGGAAGCUGUAGGAGCUCCUCAUCAGAGGCUCUCUGGAGCACGUGAGAAGGAGCUGGGGUCCAGGUCACCAGCAAGGGAAGCGUAAACCAUGCACGGCUCAUCCAGUGGCGUGAUCUGUCCACAAACAGGGAACGAAAGCGUUUGCUGCACCUAGGAUUGAGAGCAAAGCCGAUGUCUUCAAGGCAUUUGGCUGUGUCACUCCACGCAGGGAAGGAGCCUGCAGCUUUCAGAGGGCAGUUGGCUGCAGUGAACGAACCCUGCCUGAGCAGGGAUUCAGAACGGACAUGGACGAAGAGCAUCCUUCAGGCGCUAUGUGCACAUCUGGAUCAAGGCAUGCCUGUGACUUUUGAAACUUUGUGACGUGACACUUACCUAUUUCCUUUUGUGCUUCUCACCAGAUAGGCCUUUCUUUAUCUUUCACCAUUAGACACCCGGAUGAAUCACAUCCACGUGCAAAUGUAACAACCUGCCAGAUGAGGAGGUACAGAGUAGGAAUUGUAACAAUCUCUGUCUAUUGCAAAACUUCCAGAUAUGGAAAUGAUGGUAAAUUUUAAUUUAUUUUUAUUUGUGUCUGUGUCUGUGUGUCUGGGUGCAUGUACUGGCAGGUCUGUGCAUGCUUUCAGAGGCCAGAGAGUGUAUUGGGUCCACUGGAACUGGAGUUACAGGAGGUUGCAAGCUAUUCAAUGUGGAGGAUGAGAAUGGGACUUUACCAGUUGAUGUUUUGCUGUGGAUGACUGGAUCUGGUUGCUUUUGGCUGUCUCUUCCCUGUUGUUAGUAAAAAACUAAA